GACGGGAGAUGCGAGCGUUGUUCGGAAUCAUUGGGCUUAAAGCGUGUGUAGGCGGCUCGGUAAGUACCUUGUGAAAUCCCACGUCUCGACCGUGGAACUGCUUGGUGUACUGCCGGGCUCGAGGUUGGUAGAGGUGCCUGGAACUCUAGGUGGAGCGGUGAAAUGCGUAGAUAUCUGGAGGAACACCGGUGGCGAAGGCGGCAUCCUGGACUACUACUGACGCUGAGUGAGCGAAAGCCAGGGGAGCAAACGGG
rnacentral:rRNA from 1 species